rnacentral:rRNA from 1 species
CNUUNCNAGAUAAGCCAUGCAUGUCUAGUACAUGCCGUAUUAAGGCGAAACCGCGAAUGGCUCAUUAAAUCAGUUAUGGUUCCUUGGAUCGUACCUUACUACUUGGAUAACUGUGGCAAUUCUAGAGCUAAUACAUGCAGCAGAGCUCCGACCUUCGGGGACGAGCGCUUUUAUUAGACCAAAACCAAUCGGACCUCGUGUCCGUACUUUGUGGUGACUCUGUAUAACUUUGGGCUGAUCGCACGGGCCCGUCCCGGCGACGUAUCUUUCAAGUGUCUGCCUUAUCAACUUUCGAUGGUAGGUUACGCGCCUACCAUGGUCGUAACGGGUAACGGGGAAUCAGGGUUCGAUUCCGGAGAGGGAGCCUGAGAAACGGCUACCACAUCCAAGGAAGGCAGCAGGCGCGCAAAUUACCCACUCCCAGAACGGGGAGGUAGUGACGAAAAAUAACAAUACGGGACUCUUUUGAGACCCCGUAAUUGGAAUGAGUACACUCUAAAUCCUUUAACGAGGAUCCAUUGGAGGGCAAGUCUGGUGCCAGCAGCUGCGGUAAUUCCAGCUCCAAUAGCGUAUAUUAAAGUUGUUGCGGUUAAAAAGCUCGUAGUUGGAUCUCAGUUCCAGACGGGUGGUCCGCCUACCGGUGGUUACUGCCUGUUCUGAACAGCCAGUCGGUUUCUCUUGAUGAUCUUCACCGGUUGUCUUGGGUGACCGACAAGUUUACUUUGAAAAAAUUAGAGUGCUCAAAGCAGGCGUGACGCCUGAAUAAUGGUGCAUGGAAAUAAUGGAAUAGGACCUCGGUUCUAUUUUGUUGGUUUUCGGAACACGAGGUAAUGAUUAAGAGGGACAGACGGGGGCAUUCGUAUUGCGACGCUAGAGGUGAAAUUCUUGGACCGUCGCCAAGACGAACUACUGCAGANUUUUUUUUC